rnacentral:rRNA from 1 species
GACGAAGGGGGCUAGCGUUGUUCGGAAUUACUGGGCGUAAAGCGAGUGUAGGUGGUUGUCCAAGUUGGAUGUGAAAGCCUUGAGCUCAACUCAAGAAAUGCAUUCAGGACUGGGCGGCUAGAGGACCGGAGAGGAUAGUGGAAUUCCCAGUGUAGUGGUGAAAUACGUAGAGAUUGGGAAGAACACCAGUGGCGAAGGCGGACUAUCUGGACGGUUUCUGACGCUAAGACGCGAAAGCGUGGGGAGCAAACAGG